GAUGAAGAACGAAGCGAAAUGCGAUAAGUAAUGUGAAUUGCAGAAUUCAGUGAAUCAUCGAAUCUUUGAACGCACAUUGCGCCCGCCAGUAUUCUGGCGGGCAUGCCUGUCCGAGCGUCAUUUCAACCCUCAAGCCCCCGGGCUUGGUGUUGGAGAUCGGCGAGCCCCCCGGGGCGCGCCGUCUCCCAAAUAUAGUGGCGGUCCCGCUGUAGCUUCCUCUGCGUAGUAGCACACCUCGCACUGGGAAACAGCGUGGCCACGCCGUAAAACCCCCCACUUCUGAAAGGUUGACCUCGGAUCAGGUAGGAAUACCCGCUGAACUUAAGCAUAUCAAUAAGCGGAGGA
rnacentral:misc_RNA from 1 species